rnacentral:rRNA from 1 species
AUUGAACGCUGGCGGCAGGCCUAACACAUGCAAGUCGAGCGGCAGCGGGAAGUAGCUUGCUACUUUGCCGGCGAGCGGCGGACGGGUGAGUAAUGUCUGGGAAACUGCCUGAUGGAGGGGGAUAACUACUGGAAACGGUAGCUAAUACCGCGUGAUGUCGCAAGACCAAAGAGGGGGACCUUCGGGCCUCUCGCCAUCACAUGUGCCCAGAUGGGAUUAGCUAGUAGGUGGGGUAAAGGCUUACCAAGUCUACGAUGGAUAGGGGUUCUGAGAGGAAGGUCCCCCACACUGGUACUGAGACACGGACCAGACUCCUACGGGAGGCAGCAGUGAGGAAUAUUGGUCAAUGGGCGAGAGCCUGAACCAGCCAAGUAGCGUGAGGGAUGACUGCCCUAUGGGUUGUAAACCUCUUUUAUAUGGGAAUAAUAGGUUCUACGUGUAGAAUUUUGCAUGUACCAUUAUGAAUAAGCAUCGGCUAACUCCGUGCCAGCCGCCGCCGUAACAC